rnacentral:lncRNA from 1 species
UCUGUUUAGUUUGUUUCUUUUGUGUUCUUUUCUCUUAUUUUUGUUUGUAUGUACUAUAAAUUUGGGAAAAGUACAAAAUAAAAAGUAUUAAAAACAAAGAAGUCUUUGUUGGUUCAGUACACAUGGUGUUAUUAGCUUCAUACACCCACCAAGAUAUCUGUGUUCCAUUGACUGAAAUACAGUUAAUGAAAAUGAAGCCUAUGAAAAACAAAAACACAUAAUUCGUUAAAGAUGUGCAAAGUUACCAUAGUAUAAAUAUAUCAGUGUUCUCACUCACCACAGGUAGAUAUUCUCUCCUCUUUGGAGACAUCACUGACGUUGUUCCUGACUGAGCAGACCAGACGUCCUGAGACGUGCUGUUUCAGAGUGAUGAUGUUAGUCUCAUUAUUUACAGAAAGGAGCUCAGCAUCUGUCAGUGUGCGUCCAUCCAGAGUCCAGCUGUACUGAGGACUGUCCCCUCCCUCAGAGGAGCAGGACACCCUCAUCUCUCCCUGAGACAGACACUCAGAGACCAGCAGGACAGAGGACACAGGAGCUGAGAGAAACACACACAGAUGAGUUUUUUUUAUUCGUAUCUUAGUUAUUCUUUAUUGUCUCUAAUGAAGAACAGGGAAGCACCAAACAUGUGUAUCUAAAAUUUUGUGAUACGUAUUAUAUCGAUUACCAAAACAUUACUUUACUAUUAAUGGCUUAAUUUCCCAACAUUUACCUUGAAUAAACAAUUGUAAAGUCCGCUCGCCUGAUGAUUUUCCAUCUGAAUUAAAUGUUUGAAGGCUAUAUUUACUACUGUCGUUCCUGCUCAGGUUAUUGACCCUAAAUGUUCCAUUGCUGAGAAAAAGGGUAUAUCUUUCUCCUAUGGUAUUAGAAAUAACCUUAUUAUUUUUCACAUCUAGUAUUUUUAAUGAAUUCUUUAACAGUUGGUAUUUAUAUAUUUCUGAGGUGCUGUCCAUCAGCUGGAUGUCCACACUUCCCCCCAAAGCUCCAUAACACUGAGCUCCAUCCUGUCUGCCAUCACAGUGAGUUUCCACACCUGCAAAAUAAACAAAUCAAAACAUACAAAAAAGAAAUAAAUAAAAAAAGAAGCAAAACAAAACAAGACAAAACAAAAAGAGUGAACAAAAACGAUCGUUACAGGCAGUGAGGCAACUGGCAACAGGCAACUGCUUACUGCAAGGUCAAAUGCAGUAACCUGGGUUUGAUUCAGGUUUAAGGCCACUUGCUGCUUUUACUGACCAAUGAAAAUAAAAACAAGCUACUGCAAAUUUAAAUAUAUCGAUCUGAAGACUUUUACAUUUUAAUUAGUAUAGUUAUGCUGCAAUGUUGGGACAAAAAAUGUGCUUUUCAUCGUUCAAUGUUUGCUUUAAACAUGGAUUAAUUUCUGAACAAUAUCAAACUAUUUUUAGUGGAGCUGUGUAGUUGACAUUUUGUUACUGGAAUAUAUUCAUAAAAUGAGGCAUUAUGUGGCAUUAGGUUAAAGUCCAUCAGUUCUACUUGUUAGACAUAAUAUAAGUUCAAGAACACAGUCACUACAACCAGAAUGCACUCACAAAGUUACACUAGCAAAGUAUUUCAUUCAUAACUGUGUUAAUAACUAUGGUAAUAACUAAAAAUAUAGCCAAAGAACACUCUCCAGGUCAGUCCAAAGCAAAUAUUGUAUAUUUUAUAAAUUAAAACUACAGCAAUGGACUCGUGGCUCUAUCACGGUGUUAGACAGAAGCAACUUUUACACUAUUUCUUGUAGAGGUUGGUCAGUUGCUAAACCUUUAAAUGGAAAAAUUGCAUAAUGUUAUGAGUAUAACAGAGAUGAAGAAGUUUUACUACAACCAUGGGAAAAAACAAAACAAAACCCCUCAGAUACUAAAAAUACCUCAUAUCGGUUAUUUUUACUUUAACUGAAUAUUAACAAGCAAUGACCUCAGAUUUUUCCAUUACAAUUAGAAGUGAUUAAAAAAGCACAAAAAAACCCUAAAGCUCUGUUUAAACACUCAAAAGAAAUUAAAGAGAUCAGAUCGCACUUGACUGUUUAAAUAACUGACCUCUUUUAACUUCCAUCAAGACUUUACUUACUGCCUAAAUAAUAUUGUUAUUUCAAAACAAGUUGCUGAUAUAUAACAUGUUUGUAUCAAUAAAGUGCCAGCUUUAGCUCACCAUGAGAUACUCCCAGUAGCAUUAUCAUCAGUCCAACCACAGCAUCCAUUUCUUGUGUGUUCAGAGUGUGUUUAUACACUUGGCAGAAUACUUCAUUUAACAGCAUGUAAAUAUAUCCAACACUUAACAAUGGCUCCUGUUCCUGAUGGGGAUCUUCUGAAAAGUUGGAUAUAGACUGUAUACGGAAAGAUGAGAAAGGAAGUGAAACUAAAAUAUUCAUCACUGAGCUGAAAUAAAAGGAACUUCACAGUUUCUUCUCUCAGAGUUCUAUUUUGAAUCAUUUAUGUCCACUUGAUUCACCACUCCCACAAAGUUUCAUGGAAUUCAACAACCGUCCUGCACGUAUAUACAGUGCUGUGAGAAAGUAGUUUAUUAAUUCCUGAUGUCUCAUAUUUUGGAUAUUUGAGAACACCAUUUAGUAAUAGUAUAGUCAUAUAUUGUUGUAAUAUGUCUGUGAAGGUUCUCAGUCAUCCAGGUCAUCGUAGUCUAAGGAGCUUGGAACGAAAACGUCUGGAUUUCUUUAAGUUGCUUGAAGACGUUUCACCUCUCAUCCAAGAAGCUUCUUCAGUUCUAAGGUCAAAUGGUGGAGAGUCCCAGAUUUAACCUCUGUGGGAGUAACCCACUGAAAGGGACAAUGGACCCCCUAAUAAUCCUCUACCUAAUCACAUGAGCCAAGGUGCGAAAAUGGGUGUGGGUCACAAUCAGUCAGGGUUUCGGGUGAGCUCAUUGUGAAACCUAGCCCACCCUAUCAUGUGAUUUCCUGAGGUCAGAUGGCCCAGGAUGUGACUGGGCGUUAAGGCAUCUGGGAAGGGAUCUCAGAACUGGAUUAUAGAUGGCAGACAGUUGGUGUCGUAAACCACCGCCUCUGUUCAAAGAUGGUCACUCACAGUGGAUAUAGAUGGCUUCUUUUACCACUCUUGCAUCUGUCUUCUCUGUCCAAAAUGUGAACAUUGGCAUCCUUGAAAGAGUGACCUUUGUCCUUUAGAUGCCGAGUCUUGUCCCGUGGAGGUGGCUCUUCGAUGUUGUGCCAUGUGCUUGUGAAGUGGCUGUUUGCUCUCUCCAAUGCAGAGGUCUGGGCAUUCCUCGCUGCACUGUACAGCAUACACCACAUUGUUAAGUUUGUGUUUUGGAGUUUUGUCUUUGGGAUGAACUUAAAGAAGUCCAGACACUUUUCAUUCCAAGCUCCUUAGAAUAUUGUAGUAAUAUAUUGUUGAUCCCUAUGCUCACAGUAUGUGCAAUAUGGGAAGGCAAAUUAAA